rnacentral:misc_RNA from 1 species
GAAAUGCGAUAAGUAAUGUGAAUUGCAGAAUUCAGUGAAUCAUCGAAUCUUUGAACGCACAUUGCGCCCGCCAGUAUUCUGGCGGGCAUGCCUGUUCGAGCGUCAUUACAACCCUCAGGCCCCCGGGCCUGGCGUUGGGGAUCGGCGGAAGCCCCCUGCGGGCACAAAGCCGUCCCCCAAAUACAGUGGCGGUCCCGCCGCAGCUUCCAUUGCGUAGUAGCUAACACCUCGCAACUGGAGAGCGGCGCGGCCACGCCGUAAAACACCCAACUUCUGAAUGUUGACCUCGAAUCAGGUAGGAAUACCCGCUGAACUUAAGC